GCGGUAGUAGCUCAACGGAUAGAGCAGCUGACUUCGGAUCAGUUGGUUGAGGGUUCGAGUCCUUCCUACCGCGCCA
rnacentral:tRNA from 1 species